UACGUAGGGUGCAAGCGUUAAUCGGAAUUACUGGGCGUAAAGCGCGCGCAGGCGGUCUUCCAAGUCAGUGGUGAAAGCCCGGAGCUCAACUCCGGAACUGCCAUUGAAACUGUGAGACUUGAGUAUGAGAGAGGUGAGUGGAAUUCCCAGUGUAGAGGUGAAAUUCGUAGAUAUUGGGAAGAACACCGGUGGCGAAGGCGGCUCACUGGCUCAUUACUGACGCUCAGGCGCGACAGCGUGGGGAUCAAACAGG
rnacentral:rRNA from 1 species